rnacentral:tRNA from 1 species
ACUUGAAUAGUUUAUUUUAAAAUAUUGAUUUGUGGGGUCAGUGAUGUAUAUUUUUACUUCAGGUU